rnacentral:rRNA from 1 species
GUGGGGAAUAUUGGACAAUGGGCGAAAGCCUGAUCCAGCCAUGCCGCGUGUGUGAAGAAGGUCUUCGGAUUGUAAAGCACUUUAAGUUGGGAGGAAGGGCAGUAAGUUAAUACCUUGCUGUUUUGAUGUUACCGACAGAAUAAGCACCGGCUAACUUCGUGCCAGCAGCCGCGGUAAUACGAAGGGUGCAAGCGUUAAUCGGAAUUACUGGGCGUAAAGCGCGCGUAGGUGGUUUUGUAAGUUGGAGGUGAAAUCCCCGGGCUCAACCUGGGAACUGCCUCCAAAACUGCAUGACUAGAGUACGGUAGAGGGUAGUGGAAUUUCCUGUGUAGCGGUGAAAUGCGUAGAUAUAGGAAGGAACACCAGUGGCGAAGGCGACUACCUGGACUGAUACUGACACUGAGGUGCGAAAGCGUGGGGAGCAAACAGGAUUAGAUACCCGUGUAGUCC